UACGUAGGUGACCAGCGUUGUCCGGAUUUACUGGGCGUAAAGAGCGCGCAGGCGGUCGUUCAAGUCGAGUGUGAAAGCCCCCGGCUCAACCGGGGAAGUGGCGCCGAUACGACCGCCCUGGAGGGACGUAGGGGGACCUGGAACUUCCGGUGGAGCGGUGAAAUGCGUUGAGAUCGGAAGGAACGCCCGUGGCGAAAGCGAGGUCCUGGACGUCUGCUGACGCUGAGACGCGAAAGCCAGGGGAGCGAACGGG
rnacentral:rRNA from 1 species